AGAGGGAAAGNCGGAAUAAGAGAGUAGGGACUUAGCUGAAAACCAUCUAGGAUGGCGGUUUUUUUUAUUCUUAGAUAGAUGUGUUUUUAAAACGAAAGUGCACGACCAUCUUUCUUGCCUUUGAAUAACCCAUCCUGUACACCGCCGUCUGAAGAGUCGAAUCCAAGAACUAACUCUGUUUCUAUUUUUGAUCAGAAGUAAGUCAGGUAAGGUGCAGACUAUGGGCAAGAGGAAAUGCAUUUCAUUAAAUCUCGAUAAGGUGGUUGAAAACCAUCUUAAAGAAGAAUUUAACAGUAAGGUUUUUUAAUUAUAAAAGUCUGAAUUAAUAACAGAAAAAUGU
rnacentral:rRNA from 1 species